UUUGUAUUUCCUUAGGGGAGGGGAUGGCAUACUCUGUCGGUGCAAGUGCAAAUUAUACACUGCAUGUGACACUGUUAAUGCUGGUGAGAAUGCAGGUAUAACAACACCACUAACAUAAUUCAUUUAUGAUGUCUUGAAAGCUUAGCGGGACCAUGAGAGGGCCAAGUUUUCAUUUCUUCCAUUGACGAAUCUCGAGAGUGUUGGCAAUCAAAUUUAAAUGGUGGCCACAAAUCAGUUCGAUUGAUUAGGGCAAGAUGAUCAAGAGUUCUUGAACUAUUGUAGAAGUUUGAAUAUGUUAUGUUUUGU